UACGUAGGGGGCGAGCGUUGUCCGGAAUUAUUGGGCGUAAAGAGCUCGUAGGCGGUUUGUCGCGUCUGCUGUGAAAUCCCGAGGCUCAACCUCGGGUCUGCAGUGGGUACGGGCAGACUGGAGUGCGGUAGGGGAGAAUGGAAUUCCUGGUGUAGCGGUGGAAUGCGCAGAUAUCAGGAGGAACACCGAUGGCGAAGGCAGUUCUCUGGGCCGUAACUGACGCUGAGGAGCGAAAGCGUGGGGAGCGAACAGG
rnacentral:rRNA from 1 species